CACACGACCGUACCGCAAACCGACACUGGUGCGCGAGAUGAGUAUUCUAAGGCGCUUGAGAGAACUCAGGAGAAGGAACUCGGCAAAUUGACACCGUAACUUCGGAAGAAGGUGUGCCUUUAGUAGGUGAACCAUUUACUUGGGGAGCCCAAUGAGGCUGCAAAAAAUCGGUGGCUGCAACUGUUUAUUAAAAACACAGCACUCUGCUAAGACGAAAGUCGACGUAUAGGGUGUGACGCCUGCCCGGUGCUGGAAGAUUAAAUGAUGGGGUGCAAGCUCUUGAUUGAAGUCCCAGUAAACGGCGGCCGUAACAAUAACGGUCCUAAGGUAGCGAAAUUCCUUGUCGGGUAAGUUCCGACCUGCACGAAUGGCGUAAUGAUGGCCACACUGUCUCCUCCUGAGACUCAGCGAAGUUGAAAUGUUUGUGAUGAUGCAUCUCCCCGCGGAAAGACGGAAAGACCCCAUGAACCUUUACUGUAGCUUUGUAUUGGACUUUGAACAGAUCUGUGUAGGAUAGGUGGGAGGCUUUGAAGUGUGGUCGCUAGAUCGCAUGGAGCCAACGUUGAAAUACCACCCUGUGUGUUUGAGGUUCUAACCUAGGUCCAUUAUCUGGAUCGGGGACAGUGCAUGGUAGGCAGUUUGACUGGGGCGGUCUCCUCCCAAAGUGUAACGGAGGAGUUCGAAGGUACGCUAGGUACGGUCGGACAUCGUGCUAAUAGUGCAAUGGCAUAAGCGUGCUUAACUGCGAGACUGACAAGUCGAGCAGAUGCGAAAGCAGGACAUAGUGAUCCGGUGGUUCUGUAUGGAAGGGCCAUCGCUCAACGGAUAAAAGAUACUCUGGGGAUAACAGGCUGAUACCGCCCAAGAGUUCAUAUCGACGGCGGUGUUUGGCACCUCGAUGUCGGCUCAUCUCAUCCUGGGGCUGUAGCCGGUCCCAAGGGUAUGGCUGUUCGCCAUUUAAGGAGGUACGGGAGCUGGGUUUAAAACGUCGUGAGACAGUUUGGUCCCUAUCUUCCGUGGGCGCUGCAGAUUUGAGGAAGCCUGCUCCUAGUACGAGAGGACCGGAGUGGACGAACCUCUGGUGUAUCGGUUGUCACGCCAGUGGCAUUGCCGAGUAGCUAAGUUCGGAAGAGAUAACCGCUGAAAGCAUCUAAGCGGGAAACUCGUUUCAAGAUUAGAUCUGCCGGGGCCUUGAGCCCCCUAGAGAGUCGUUCAAGACCAGGACGUUGAUAGGUCAGGUGUGGAAGCG
rnacentral:rRNA from 1 species